UACGGAGGGGGCUAGCGUUGUUCGGAAUUACUGGGCGUAAAGCGCGCGUAGGCGGACCUGCAAGUCGGGGGGUGAAAGCCCGAGGCUCAACCUCGGAACUGCCUUCGAUACUGCGGGUCUCGAGUCCGGGAGAGGUGAGUGGAAUUCCUAGUGUAGAGGUGAAAUUCGUAGAUAUUCGCAAGAACACCAGUGGCGAAGGCGGCUCACUGGCCCGAUACUGACGCUGAGGCACGAAAGCGUGGGGAGCAAACAGG
rnacentral:rRNA from 1 species